UCUCUCCCUCUCUCGCGUAAAGCGGGAACUACUCGAGAGAAACAGAAUCAAUGAAAUACUUAACAGCAGUGUACGGAGGAGAAAACUGGCUGAUCUAGACAUUCAAUGUGGACUGUGUUCUGUAAGGAGGAGAAAACUGGCUGAUCUAGACAUUCAAUGUGGACUGUGUUCUGUUCAUACCAGCACAUGCUUGCACAGCACCCCAGUUCCAUUUGAUUCUUUAGUAACUUGGCGGGAAAAGGUAGGUGCAGCCUGGAGCCCACACAAGCUCAGGGAUCGCCAGCCACAGGCUGCAGUCUGGCCGCUGAAUCCAGUUCUGAUGUAAAGUAAUUCAGGCUUCAAAAGAAGUCAAAAACCGAUGGUGUUUUCAAAUGUUACUGUAAGGACUAUAAUAUUGGCCAUAACACCUCUGACAACUGAGGAAUCUGGCAUUUUGUGUAGUAUGAGAAAAGGCUACAAAUCUCAAGAUGGUUUUAUUUAAGCCAAAAAGAAAGAAAAAGUCUGCGCAAGACACAUAUUUACAAUUUAUUAAAAACACAUUAAAAUCUAUUUAUACAAUCUAAAUUCUAGCCACAUAUACAGAUACCAAGUGACUACAGUACGUGCCGAGGUAAGAAAAGUACAUUCUGGGAGCCUCUCGCGCCACUCGCACUGUUUUCAUUUCCAACACGUGUUGCAAUACAGGUUUGUUUUCACCUUUCCCAGUGCCAAAAAAGGAGGAGGAGGAGAUGAAGAAGAAACUAGGCACAAGUUGGAUUAAACGAGAAGUGGUGCCACAGGUGACCUAAAAAGUGUUUUAAUAACCAUCCAACUCUUCGUUAGAUUUUGCAGUUCAGGGACUUCAAGCUCAGAACGAAAGACAGACCUAACAGGUAAUUUUUUUAGGUAGAGCUUCCUGGAUUUCUCUCAAGAGGGUUUAAAAAGCUUUCACUGUCCCACAUAAUCUGCUGGUUCUUUCUAACUGUAUCAUCGGACAUGGUGUUUCAGCAGCCCUCUUGCUCUCCAACUGACAGUGAAGUUCAAGCUUUAUCACUUUCCAGGGAAUUACGGCCAUGUUCGUAUUUAGAUGAGCUCAUUUUCUGCUCCCUCCUUAGGGGGAGGGCAAGUGUAUACACAACGUUGUAAUUUCAGUUACUGUAUAAAUUCUCUACUCGAACCGUUUCAUCAGCGAAUAAACCCACUGUUCAAUGCAAAGUGCAAAUAGUGAAACAGGAACUUAAAUAAUUGGACUAGACCCUGCACAUACACUAGGAUCUAUUUAGAUUUAUAGCUGUUAAUAAAAUAUAAAUCAGCAUUCACAAUAUCUUAUCUUAAACUGUGCUAGUUCCUAAGAUCAAGUAACAGCGAAGUCAGUGUGAUUUUAUGCAACCUGUAAGGGCCACACUUGCUGCACUGCUGUCUAUUUUUAUAAUUAACAGGAAAAUUUAAUCCAAUAAACCAGUGACUUAAGUCUUUUACAUGUUUCAAAGUAUAAAAAUUCAAAGGAAUUUUGUAAAAAAUGGUUACUUUCACAUUUUCAGUUGUUACUUGAUUGUCUCCAAAGCUGUACAUGUAUCAGACAUAUAAACGUAGUAAAAAACCCCAGAACUCUACUAUGAAAACAAAUGGACUAAAAGAAAAAGUACAAAACAAGAACAACCCUUUCUAUCAGGCUCAGCUCUUCACUUGGAAAGUAAAAUACAUAAAAGUAGUAAAAACUAGGUUUUGUAAAAAUCAUUGGUAGUUCAAGGACAGCACAGUGGCAAGCUGAAUCAAGUCUUAAAACAUGCAUCAUUCUUAAGAAAACACUGGCUUCUCAAACAGUUUGCUGGGAAAAACAAUCAGGUGCACACAAUUACACAACUAGAGCAAACAUCUUUGGGAAAAUGAAGUAGCCACUGAAAUCAUCUCUCUUAAAGCUUCAAACAGGCACAUGAUUUGAGGGAAAGCAUAUUUUCUGUGUGCUAAGGGUGAAUAAAAAAAUAAAGCAACUGGUUUACUCUCUUCCCACUGGAAAGGGGAUGACUACAUUAAUACAUGUGCUUACACGCUCAUAUAUGUUUUAUUACAAGUUCAACAUCUGUCCCUCUUGUUUCAAGUAUUUUGAAACAAAAUAGGUAUUGGUUUUUCAGUAAAUAAAAUUAUGCCUCAAAGUUGGUUGGGAAAAGAAAAGCAAAUGAAAAUAAGACCAAAAUCAUACAAGCAGAAGGCAGGGAGGCUGCAGAAAUAAACAGUUAUAACACUCACGGAAGCAAGCAGAAUGAACACCAUGCAUCUUUAGUCAAGUGUAGCGAAUUCUGGCAACGACAAUCUGGUGGCACAGGCCAAAAGAAAAGAACUAGGACCUGAUGGCAGAGCACAUUUCAACAUCAAGUCUACAGACCAAGGUUUACAGAAGAAGGCAUUUAUAC
ensembl:lncRNA